rnacentral:rRNA from 1 species
CCCCUAGAUGUUCUGGGCCGCACGCGCGCUACACUGAACAGUUCAACAAGUCUUAACCUUGGCCGAUAGGUCUGGGUAAUCUUUGAACGCUGUUCGUGAUUGGGAUAGACCUUUGCAAUUAUGGGUCUUCAACGAGGAAUUCCUAGUAAACGCAAGUCAUCAGCUUGCAUUGAUUACGUCCCUGCCCUUUGUAUACACCGCCCGUCGCACCUACCGAUUGAAUGGUCCGGUGAAAUCUCGGGACGGCGGCUUGGUCGCUUGCGUCCGACUGCUGAAACUUGAUUAAACCAUNUNAUUUAGNGGAAGGUGAANUCGUANCA